rnacentral:rRNA from 1 species
UACGUAGGUGGCAAGCGUUGUUCGGAUUCACUGGGCGUAAAGGGUGCGUAGGUGGUGAGGUAAGUCGGAUGUGAAAGCUCGGAGCUCAACUCCGAAAUGGCAUUGGAAACUACCUUGCUCGAGGGUUGGAGGGGGGACUGGAAUGCUUGGUGUAGCAGUGAAAUGCGUAGAUAUCAAGCGGAACACCAGUGGCGAAGGCGAGUCCCUGGACAACUCCUGACACUGAGGCACGAAAGCUAGGGGAGCAAACAGG